GGGUUAUAUAGGGGAUAUACGGGGGGAUAUGGGGUCAUAUAGGGAAUACAUGGGGGGAUAUGGGUUGUGGGGUCACUAUGGGAUUAUAUGGGGGGAUAUGGGGAGAUAUGGGGGGUUAUAGGGUUCUGUGUGUCCCUAUGUGUCCCUAUGGGUCUCUAUGGGUCUCUAUAUGUCCCUAUGUGUCCCUACGUAUCGCUCUGCCCCCCCACCUGUCAAUCACUGUCGCCGCGUUCCCAUUGGCUGUCCCGGUUUCCAUGGCAGCGCUGCUCCCUCCCCCGCUGCACGUUGCGUCCUUCUCUUCACGCCCACCACCCGCGGCACUGCGCCUUCCACCUGCGGGACUGGGAUAUCGCGAGACUACAGCGCCUCCUGCAGGUGGGGAGGAGUCAUUGCAUCCAAUGGGGUUAUAUAGCGCCUCCUGCAGGUGGGGAGGAGUCAUUGCAUCCAAUGGGGUUAUAUAGGGAUCUAUGGGUCUAUAUAGCGCCUCCUGCAGGUGGGGAGGGGGAACUGCACCCUAAUAUAGGGCUCUAUGGGGUUAUAUAGGGAUCUAUGGGGUUAUAUAGCGCCUCCUGCAGGUGGGGAGGGGUAAUAGCACCCUAUGGGUCCCUAUGGGUUUCUGUGGGUCUUUAUGGGUUGCUAUGGGUCCCUAAGGGUCCCUAUGGGUCUCUAUGGGUUCCUAU
rnacentral:lncRNA from 1 species